CAAGUAACAAAAGCAAAUGAAUGUGUCAAAGAUAUCAAGCUAAUUACCAGCAUGCUGUUUACUCAUAUGCAAGGCAGAUGAAUCCAUAGAUUGAUUUUAUCCAACAAAAGGGAAAACAAGCUUGAUACAAAUGGAAGAAGAGAGAAGGAGGAAAAACAAAACAUGGCCAAUAUGAGAAGAGUUCUCUGGUUUCCACAUUUGGAGGUGAGGAACAGCAAGAAAGCAGGCAUCUACAAGUCAGGAAGAGAGCUUUUAACAGAAGCCAACCAUGCUGGCACCUUGAUCUUGGACUUCUAGCCUCCAAAACUAGAAGGUAAUAACCGUCUGUUGUUUAAGCCAAGCAGUCUUUUGAAUUUUGUUAUGUCAGCUCUAGCUGACUAAGAUAAUAAGUUUGAAACAAAUUGAUUUUAGUCCUUUAAAAUUUAGGAGGAAUUUUUAGUCCUUCAGAGAUUUGUGAUGUAAUCUUCCAAUUACUAAUCUCUGAUAAUUGAA
rnacentral:lncRNA from 1 species